GCACCCCUAGCUCAACUGGAUAGAGUCCCGGUUUACGAAACCGGUGGUUAGUGGUUCGAAUCCACUGGGGUGUA
rnacentral:tRNA from 1 species